AUACCAUGAUGAGGGCAUUUUUGUAAUAACUCUUUAAACCAUUCCCAUGCCUCAUACAAGGACUCAUCAUCAGAUUGCUAAAACGUAGUAAUUUCAUAUCUAAGCUU
rfam:Gossypium hirsutum cultivar TM-1 chromosome 18, whole genome shotgun sequence